rnacentral:rRNA from 1 species
GACGGAGGGUGCAAGCGUUGCUCGGAAUCACUGGGCGUAAAGGGUGCGUAGGCGGCCGUGCAAGUCUGGCGUGAAAGCCCCGGGCUCAGCCCGGGAAGUGCGCUCGAAACUGCGCGGCUCGAGUGCCGGAGGGGAGAGUGGAAUUCCUGGUGUAGCGGUGAAAUGCGUAGAUAUCAGGAGGAAUACCGGUGGCGAAAGCGACUCUCUGGACGGCAACUGACGCUGAGGCACGAAAGCGUGGGGAGCAAACAGG